CCUGGCUCAGGAUGAACGCUAGCUACAGGCUUAACACAUGCAAGUCAGGGGCAGCAUGAGAGUAGCUUGCUACUCUUGAUGGCGACCGGCGGCACGGGUGCGUAACACGUAUCCAAUCUACCCAUGGCUCGGGAAUAGCCUUUCGAAAGAAAGAUUAAUGCCCGAUGGUCUGUCUGUGAGACAUCUCGCGGGCAGUAAAGAUUUAUCGGCGAUGGAUGAGGAUGCGUCUGAUUAGGUAGUAGGCGGGGCAACGGCCCACCUAGCCGACGAUCAGUAGGGGUUCUGAGAGGAAGGUCCCCCACAUUGGAACUGAGACACGGUCCAAACUCCUACGGGAGGCAGCAGUGAGGAAUAUUGGUCAAUGGACGAGAGUCUGAACCAGCCAAGUAGCCGGUGAGGGACGACUGCCCUAUGGGUUGUAAACCUCUUUUGUUUGGGAAUAAAGUGUCCUACGUGUAGGAUUUUGUAUGUACCAUACGAAUAAGCAUCGGCUAAUUCCGUGCCAGCCGCGGC
rnacentral:rRNA from 1 species